GCUGUUUAAAAUAAGGGAUAAAUUUUAAAAUUAUACAUGAAUUUUAAUUUGGUGUAAUUAUGUACGUGAAAUUCUAAUUGUGGUUCAAAUAUAUACUUGAAAUUUUAAUUUUGAUUUAAUCAUAAACAUUUAAAGAAAUAAAUACAUCAAUUUAUUUUUAUAUUAGAUAAAUAUUGUAAUGGCCCAAAUCUGUCCCCAAACACAAAGAAACAAAAAGACCAAAAAAAAAAAACAAAGUCCAUUUACAAGCCCAAAUUAUAAGCCCAAACCAAUACCAAACCUUAAAAGGCCCAAAACAUAAAAAAAAAUAGAAACCCUAGUUUCCCUAAGGCCUCCAGCGCCGCUCCCCUACCACGUCGGCAUGCAAUGGCAAGGGGUGUGCAUUUCCACCACCGUUGACUCGGCCCCUUGCCACAGAGAUUUGCAAAAAAGAAAAAACAAAAACAAAAAGUAGAAAUGGCAGGAACAACGAAAAAAAAAAGAAAAGAUUAUGUAAUAUAUAGCUAUAAAAGCCAUAACAACGAAUGUAUUGUUUACGGGCAAGAAAUCGAAUACAAAAAAAAGAACAGAGUUUUAAAAAGGUG
rnacentral:lncRNA from 1 species